AAAGCUCAUUGGUUUGAGCAUGGUGCUGAUAACACCAAGGCUUGCAGGUUCGAUUCCCGUGUGAGAGA